rnacentral:lncRNA from 1 species
UUUAUUAAAUAACCUCCAAAAUGAUCCGUUAAUCCAAAAUACCACUUAGCCCACGUCCGCACCCUCCUACGCCUCGGUUUUGAUAUCCGUCCCCAAUCUAAAUCAAAAUAAACCCACUAAAAAAUCUUUGGUAGAUAUUAUGAACGGCCCAUCCAACUCGAUGAUUCCGAUCAAGACCGUUACUUCAUUUGAGGGAGAGCCUAACGUGCAAUUUUCUACUGCGGAAAUUCAAGCAAUGGCCAUUCCUUUCAAGCUGAACCUAACGUGCAAUUUUCUACUACGGAAAUUCAAGCGAUGGCCAUUCCUUUCAAGCUGACAUUGGUAGGUAAAUUUUCCUACAAUAGACCUAGUAUGGAAUUAAUUCGUAAAUUUUUU